GUGCUGUAUGAAAGGAGAGAAAGUUAGCACUCCUCUUGACAAGGAAUGGAUAGGU
rnacentral:snRNA from 1 species